rnacentral:rRNA from 1 species
GGGGGAAUAUUGCACAAUCGGCGCAAGCCUGAUGCAGCCAUGCCGCGUGUGUGAAGAAGGCCUUCGGGUUGUAAAGUACUUUCAGCGGGGAGGAAGGCGGUGAGGUUAAUAACCUCAUCGAUUGACGUUAUCCGCAGAAGAAGCACCGGCUAACUCCGUGCCAGCAGCCGCGGCAAUACGGUGGGUGCAAGCGUUAAUCGGAAUUACUGGGCGUAAAGCGCACGCAGGCGGUCUGUCAAGUCGGAUGUGAAAUCCCCGGGCUCAACCUGGGAACUGCAUUCGAAACUGGCAGGCUAGAGUAUUGUAGAGGGGGGUAGAAUUCCAGGUGUAGCGGUGAAAUGCGUAGAGCUCUGGAGGAAUACCGGUGGCGAAGAAGGCCCCCUGGACAAAGACUGACGCUCAGGUGCGAAAGCGUGGGGGGCAAACAGG